CCUUCGGGUUGUAAAGCUCUUUUUGUCAGGGAAGAAACGGUGUUUUCUAAUAAAGAGCACUAAUGACGGUACCUGAAGAAUAAAGCACCGGCUAACUACGUGC
rnacentral:rRNA from 1 species